GACAGAGGGUGGCAACGUUGUUCGGAAUUACUGGGCGUAAAGCGCGUGUAGGCUGCUUGGAAAGUCGGAUGUGAAAGCCCUGGGCUCAACCUAGGAAGUGCAUUCGAAACUUCUGAGCUGGAGUUCUGGAGAGGAAGGCGGAAUUCGUCGGUGUAGAGGUGAAAUUCGUAGAUAUCGAGAGGAACACCGGUGGCGAAGGCGGCCUCUGGACAGUCGACUGACGCUGAGACGCGAAAGCGGUGGGGAGCAAACAGGG
rnacentral:rRNA from 1 species